rnacentral:tRNA from 1 species
UCUUUUAUAAUAUAAAAAUUAUUUUAAUUUGCAAAAUUAAAUAUGAAAUUAUUUUCUAAAAGAU